rnacentral:rRNA from 1 species
UACGAAGGGGGCUAGCGUUGCUCGGAAUCACUGGGCGUAAAGCGCACGUAGGCGGACUCUUAAGUCGGUGGUGAAAUCCUGGAGCUCAACUCCAGAACUGCCUUUGAUACUGGUAAGCUCGAGUCCGGGAGAGGUGAGUGGAACUGCGAGUGUAGAGGUGAAAUUCGUAGAUAUUCGCAAGAACACCAGUGGCGAAGGCGGCUCACGGGCCCGGUACUGACGCUGAGGUGCGAAAGCGUGGGGAGCAAACAGG